CAACUACUCCCUCUAUCCCAAAUUUCUUGUCUUAGAUUUGUCUAGAUACGAAUGUAUCUAAUACUAAAAUGUGACUUGAUACAUCCGUAUCUAGACAAAUCUAAGACAAGAAUUUUGAGACGGACGGAGUACUUU
rfam:Triticum aestivum genome assembly, contig: Triticum_aestivum_CS42_TGACv1_scaffold_436347_5DL